rnacentral:rRNA from 1 species
UACGUAGGGUCCGAGCGUUGUCCGGAAUUAUUGGGCGUAAAGGGCUCGUAGGCGGUUUGUCGCGUCGGGAGUGAAAACUCAGGGCUCAACCCUGAGCGUGCUUCCGAUACGGGCAGACUAGAGGUAUGCAGGGGAGAACGGAAUUCCUGGUGUAGCGGUGGAUGCGCAGAUAUCAGGAGGAACACCGGUGGCGAAGGCGGUUCUCUGGGCAUUACCUGACGCUGAGGAGCGAAAGCAUGGGGAGCAAACAGG